UACGUAGGGUGCAAGCGUUAAUCGGAAUUACUGGGCGUAAAGCGUGCGCAGGCGGUUUCGUAAGUCUGUCGUGAAAUCCCCGGGCUUAACCUGGGAACUGCAUUUGUGACUGCAAGGCUAGAGUACGGCAGAGGGGGAUGGAAUUCCGCGUGUAGCAGUGAAAUGCGUAGAUAUGCGGAGGAACACCGAUGGCGAAGGCAAUCCCCUGGGCCUGUACUGACGCUCAUGCACGAAAGCGUGGGGAGCAAACAGG
rnacentral:rRNA from 1 species